GGGAUAGCUCACCUGGUAGAGCAAAGGACUGAAAAUC
rnacentral:tRNA from 1 species